GGCUGGCGCGCGGCGCAGGGACCCCCGAGUGGGACUCGCGUGACUCGACGUCCCCUCCCGCCUCCUCCUUCCCUCCUUCCCCCCAACCAGGAAAGGAGGGAGACGCCUGGACCCGAAGCAUGACCUGAGGGGAAACUGAGGCACAGGGGGGACGGACAGACAGAGGUAAACUGAGGCCUGGCGGCGGAUGGCGGAGACCCACGUCCACAGCCCUCGGACCCACGGACGCCCAGGGGGAGACAUGAACCCCACCCAGGCCCAGACCUAGCCCAGGCUGGCACGGGGGGAAACUGA